rnacentral:lncRNA from 7 species
GACCAGUUCGUGGUCAGCUCUCCCUGGGGCCAGUCUGAUUGAAAAGGCUGGAAGCACUUGCAGAGUUACAUGGAAAUAUGGAGAAGUGAGAGCCAAAUCUGAAAAGGAAAAAAUUAUGAGGGAUAGCAUUGUGAGAACCCUUCUUUGUCUUCUGUCUCAAAGCUUGCUUCCUGAGGUAUUUCUUGUGAUAAGACGCUUAACUGAUUUAUGGAGGUGGCAAAUGAUGGGUGCUACUAUGUGACAAUCAACAUCACUUUGACAUUUGAAAGCACCUGUAAGAGACUAUUCUUUUGUAUCAUUGACUCAAAGUUUGCUGGUAACGGGACUGCUGCUGGAUCCUGGUGGUGACUAUUAUUUGUAAUAAACUGGUCGGACCAACAUUUGAACCAUUGUUUCUUAAUCUCACGCCGGGCAUACAUAUUUCAAAGAACCUCCUCUCCCUCCUAUAAAUUGGAGCGAGACAGCACCUUCCUCCCGAGCUGCUUGCCUCCAGAAGAGAGUGUUCAGGAGUGGUUACUGGCAGAUCUGGCCUAAUAGCCCCAGCUUGGUGUGGCAAAACUGGGGAAUGACACCAUCAUGCCCUGUGAAAAACAGGAUGCAGAUGGGCAUCCCAGCUCCCUCCUAUCUGCUGACAAGGCCCAGAAGAUGAUAACAAAGGAAUUUCUGCUGAGAUCCCAGAGCCAGUAGCUGCCAAGGAGAGCUGACUCAGCCACUUCGGAUUUGAGGUGUUACUCAAAAGAGAGCUGACUCAACCACUUUGGACUUACAAAUAAGUUUGUACUGCCAUCGUCGUCGUCGCUGUGGUCACCAUCAUCAACGGUACACCCGACGACCCACCACUACUGAAGAUCAAUGACUGAACUACGAACCACGUUGGACCAUGGUGGUGACUAUCUCUCUCCUGCUUCCUAUACAAACUCCUUGCUUCUAUUUCCUAUCUUUUCUAUCGUCCUUCUCCCCUUCCCCAUCUCCCUGAAUGGCUAGGAUUUGUAAUAAACUGGUUGGAC